GCGUCAAGCAAAUCUUGUCAGUAGAAAAAGGCGGCAAAUUUGAAAAAUCGCGGGCUCGCAACACCGUGUUCGAAUAAUUCCAAAAUCGCGUGUCGUCUGUGUUUUAUCUGUGGCCAACUUGUUUGUUGACAUUCUGAAUCGUUUUUAUUUCAAGAGAUAUUUCUGCUGUGACCUGUGAUAUUUUCUGAUAUUUAAUAAGAUUGUGCAUUACCUUAAGCAAAGCUAAGCCUGCAAUGUAUAAUCAUACUCGUUGAUAGUAAACAUUACUAAAAUUUUAGGUUAUGACAAGUACUGGAAGAACAUGGAAAGAACUUGGGAACUUUUAAGAUUAUGUGCAGUUUUUUUUUGUUUUAGGGUUAAAAGGCAUAAAUAAAAUUAAAACGUAUGCCUAAAUCUAUCCAAUAAGACUACACAUUGUGUCCUGGAAACCGUCCAUAGGCCCACAUAUCUUACUAUUUUCAGCGACUGAUUCGACUACAUAAUUUACAAAGGAUUAAAUCUCGCUCAAUAUGAGGCGUUCGUAGUAGGUAGUUUCUCUUCAGAAGUUCAGUCAGACAAUACUUACCUACGGCGGUUUAUAUACGUGUACAGCGCAACCAAGACGAAAAAUAAAUUUAUUAUUGAAAAAUGUAACAAAAAUAUUGAUGGAAUAAAUUAUUCUUGUAUAAGUUGUCCUUAUGUUAGUCAUCAAGAAAAUAUUUGUUUCAUGCUCUCAGCUACUGCAUAUAUAUACCUAUGGGAAAUCCUAGUUUAUACUUGCUGAAACAGGUACAGUCAGCAGCAAAAGUUACUAAGCGGGCCAGGUGUUCAAAAUGAUCUUGAAUCGACUUUAUAUAUUAAGAGAAUAAGAGUGUGUCAAGGUAAUUUUGAAUACCUGGCCCGCUUAGUAACUUUUGCUGCUGACUGUACCUAUGUAUCUUUUUAAAAGAUGUUUUAAGUCGCUUUACAUACCUGUUUGUUCAAUAAAAGAAAAUAAUGUAGUCAGCAUUCAUAUGGAGCACUAGACCCAGUGUAGGUAUAAUUUUAGAAAAGUAUUUUCACAUUUCCAAAAUGACAAGUCUUGAAUAGCCUAAUGUGCAAGUUAAUAAAAUUUCCUAACAGUAUUUUUUAUUUUUAUUAAAAUAUUAUAAUUGUGUUAUAUUUCUCAAACAUAUUUCCUAAACUUUAGCCGGGCAAACACAACUAGCCAGUUAGUCAGAUCCAAGAAAAUUAUACUCAUAGCUUUAGCAU